CCUACGGGAGGCAGCAGUGAGGAAUAUUGGUCAAUGGACGAGAGUCUGAACCAGCAAAGUAGCGUGAAGGAUGACUGCCCUAUGGGUUGUAAACUUCUUUUAUAUGGGAAUAAAACGUUCCAAGUGUGGGAUUUUGUAUGUACCAUAUGAAUAAGGAACGGCUAACUCCGUGCCAGCAGCCGCGGUAAUACGGAGGAUCCGAGCGUUAUCCGGAUUUAUUGGGUUUAAAGGGAGCGUAGGUGGAUUGUUAAGUCAGUUGUGAAAGUUUGCGGCUCAACCGUAAAAUUGCAGUUGAAACUGGCAGUCUUGAGUACAGUAGAGGUGAGCGGAAUUCGUGGUGUAGCGGUGAAAUGCUUAGAUAUAACGAAGAACUCCGAUUGCGAAGGCAGUUCACUGGACUGCAACUGACACUGAGGCUCGAAAGUGUGGGUAUCAAACAGGAUUAGAUACCCCAGUAGUC
rnacentral:rRNA from 1 species